rnacentral:sRNA from 1 species
AGUAUGAUGUGAACCCCAAUAUGUAGACUGAAUAGGAGUAGGGCUGCUCUGGGUGAAGUGUCUGGAGGAAUGGGCACAGUGCCAGCCUAGCAUCCCUUCUACCCUCAAGGAAUAGAGGCUGCAAACCAUGGACUGUCUGAUCACUGACAUAGUCCAUGAGUGUCAUGAGGGUGAUGGGGGCCUUAGGUGACAAGCACAUGACCAGAGCUCUCUUUUCUUCACUCCAGCCGGCCAUCCACCAUAUUCCUGGUUUUGAGGUGCAGGAGACAUCAAGGAUCCUGGAUGAGUCUGAGGACACAGACCUGCCCUACCCACCACCCCAGAGGGAGGCCAACAUCUACAUGGUUCCUCAGAACAUCAAGCCAGCGCUCCAGCGUACCGCCAUUGAGAUCCUGGCAUGGGGCCUGCGGAACAUGAAGAGUUACCAGCUGGCCAACAUCUCCUCCCCCAGCCUCGUGGUAGAGUGUCGGGGCCAGACGGUGCAGUCCUGUGUCAUCAGGAACCUCCGGAAGAACCCCAACUUUGACAUCUGCACCCUCUUCAUGGAAGUGAUGCUGCCCAGGGAGGAGCUCUACUGCCCCCCCAUCACCGUCAAGGUCA